GUGCUGGCUUUGGCAGCACAGACUCUACCAUUGGGCCUAGGCAGAGAAGGUUAGCAUGGCCCCUGCGCAAGAAUGCCGUGCUAAUUCGUGACUUGUUCCAUAAAAAA